rnacentral:rRNA from 1 species
GAUGAACGCUAGCUGCAGGCUUAACACAUGCAAGUCGAGGGGCAGCGGGAUUGAAGCUUGCUUCAAUUGCCGGCGACCGGCGCACGGGUGAGUAACGCGUAUCCAACCUUCCGUACACUCAGGGAUAGCCUUUCGAAAGAAAGAUUAAUACCUGAUGGUAUGAUGAGAUUGCAUGAUAUCAUCAUUAAAGAUUUAUCGGUGUACGAUGGGGAUGCGUUCCAUUAGGUAGUAGGCGGGGUAACGGCCCACCUAGCCAACGAUGGAUAGGGGUUCUGAGAGGAAGGUCCCCCACAUUGGAACUGAGACACGGUCCAAACUCCUACGGGAGGCAGCAGUGAGGAAGAUUGGUCAAUGGACGAGAGUCUGAACCAGCCAAGUAGCGUGAAGGAUGAAGGUCCUACGGAUUGUAAACUUCUUUUAUAAGGGAAUAGACCCUCCCACGUGUGGGAGCUUGUAUGUACCUUAUGAAUAAGCAUCGGCUAACUCCGUG